GGGCAGAUGGAGCAGCGGCAGCUCGCCGGAUAGGUUUGCAAAAACCGGUGUCCGUCCUCGUCCACUUGCCCUUUUAGGGCCGACAGGGGAGGGUUAUCUUGGAAUCCGGAGCAGGGCAGGUUCAACUCCUGCCUCUGUCCA
rnacentral:tRNA from 1 species